rnacentral:rRNA from 1 species
GAUGAACGCUGGCGGCGUGCCUAAUACAUGCAAGUCGAGCGAACAGACGAGGAGCUUGCUCCUUUGAUGUUAGCGGCGGACGGGUGAGUAACACGUAGGUAACCUACCUAUAAGACUGGGAUAACUUCGGGAAACCGGAGCUAAUACCGGAUAAUAUUUCGAACCGCAUGGUUCGAUAGUGAAAGAUGGCUUUGCUAUCACUUAUAGAUGGACCUGCGCCGUAUUAGCUAGUUGGUAAGGUAACGGCUUACCAAGGCAACGAUACGUAGCCGACCUGAGAGGGUGAUCGGCCACACUGGAACUGAGACACGGUCCAGACUCCUACGGGAGGCAGCAGUAGGGAAUCUUCCGCAAUGGGCGAAAGCCUGACGGAGCAACGCCGCGUAAGUGAUGAAGGUCUUCGGAUCGUAAAACUCUGUUAUUAGGGAAGAACAAACGUGUAAGUAACUGUGCACGUCUUGACGGUACCUAAUCAGAAAGCCACGGCUAACUACGUG